CCUACGGGAGGCAGCAGUGGGGAAUAUUGCACAAUGGGGGGAACGCUGAAGCAGCGACGCCGCGUGGGUGAAGGAGGAUUUCGGGAUGGAAAGCCCUAUCAGCAGGGAAGAACAAUGACGGUACCUGACUAAGAAGCACCGGCGAAAUACGUGCCAGCAGCCGCGGUAAUAGGCAUGGUGCAAGCGUUAUCCGGAUUUACUGGGUGUAAAGGGAGCGCAGGCGGCGCGUUAAGGCUGGUGUGAAAGUCCGGGGCCCAACCGCGGGACUGCAUUGGGAACUGGCGCGCUGGAGUGCCGGAGGGGUAGGCGGAAUGCCUAGUGUAGCGGUGAAAUGCGUAGAUAUUAGGAGGAACGCCAGUGGCGAAGGCGGCCUACUGGACGGUGACUGACGCUGAGGCUCGAAAGCGUGGGGAGCAAACAGGAUUAGAUACCCCAGUAGUC
rnacentral:rRNA from 1 species